rnacentral:rRNA from 1 species
GCACCCAAGGGGUGAAGCUUGCGGUUUAAUUGGAGUCAACUCCGGGAACCUUACCAAGGGCGACAGUUGGAUGAAAGUCAGAUUAAAGGUCUUACUGGACUAGCUGAGAGGAGGUGCAUGGCCGUCGCCAGUUCGUGCCGUGAGGUGUUCUCUUAAGUGAGACAACGAACGAGACCCGCACUUUUAGUUGCCACCGGAUUCCUUCGGGAUUCCGGGCACACUAAAGGGACUGCCCUCGCUAAGAGGGAGGAAGGAGCGGGCCACGGCAGGUCAGUAUGCCCCGGAUCCCUUGGGCCACACGCGAGCUGCAAUGGAUGGGACAAUGAGUUCCGACCCCGAAAGGGAAAGGCAAUCUUCAAACCCAUCCUCAGUUGGGAUCGAGGGCUGAAACUCGCCCUCAUGAAGCUGGAAUCCGUAGUAAUCGCGUUUCAAAAUAGCGCGGUGAAUACGUUCCUGCUUCUUGCACACACCGCCCGUCAAACCACCCGAGUGGGGUUUAUGUGAGGGCGUGGUCUUUUGCACGUUCGAACAUGGGUUCCCCAAGGGGGGUU